UGCAAGGCCCUGGGCUCUACCUCAGUAAUGAAAAAAGGUCAACAGACAUAGCUUUGCUCCUGCUUGAGGAGUGCUUAUUAUGAGAGGAAGGUAAUGGUGCCUCUGGGUUUUCUAUAGGCAGACAUGCAAAAACAGCUAAUCUUGUCUUUACAAACCAACAGUGUGCUGUAUGAAUGUGUUCAAGAUGGACAAAGUAGGUAGGGCCUGUCCGAUGAUGUCAGCCAUGGGCACUAGGCCACAGGGCAUUCUGGGAAGCCAUUCAGCCCCAUGAAUUGUAUAUCUCUGGAGAACUGGACCCUGGGUGUGGUGGCACCUUUCUCAGUAGCGGCAAAUGGGUUUCUGAGUGAGGUCAGUAGGGUGUCUUCAGAACAUUAGUUUUUAGAGACACAGAUUUUUCAUUUUUCUUUAGUUUCAAGAACUUACAGUCACAAGAGGGCCUUUGUAUUGUUAUUCAAUAGAAGGCUGCCCUUUCCCUGACAAGGUGACACAGUGCUUCUGACUGUGUUCCUGUGCACUGUGGAGAUAUCUGUCACAGGGGUCCUUAGUGAAUUUGCCUUUUCACAUUCGUCUCACCAUCUUCCUGUCAUCCUUAAUGUCCAUGUGAUGUUUUAUCGGUUGCUCAAUAGUCAAUAGUUUGUUGGUGUUUAAUUGUUGUUUAUUACCAAAAAGGCCGUGGGCGCCUCUCAUGCAUGCAAAUCCUUGUUAGUGGAGUAUUUUUUAAAGGUUUGUUUUCUUUUUAAUUAUGCAUGUCUGUGUAUGUUCUGUUCAUUGUGCCCAUGGAAGACAGAAGAGCUUGUUGGGUCUGGGUCCCUUAGAGCUGGAGAAGUUACAGGUGGCCUUGAGCGGGGACUUGGAUCAUCUGUGAGAGCAAUAAGCACUUGCCCGCUGAGCCAUCUUUCCAGCCCCCGGAAUUUUUUUUUUUUUUUUAAUAUUGAUUGUUUUCUUAAACGUAUUUUGUAAUUUGUCCCAAGUUUUUUUUUUUUUUUUUUUUUUUGGCUUUUUGAGACAGGGUUUCAUUGUGUAUCCCUGGCAGUCCUGGAACUCACUUUGUAGACCAGGCUGGCCUCGAACUCAGAAAUCCGCCUGCCUCUGCCUCCCGAGUGCUGGGAUUAAAGGCGUGUGCCACCACACCCUGCUCUUUUUCUUUUUUUAAAAAAGAUUUAUUUUAUUCAUAUGAGUGCAAUGUAGCUGUCUUCAGCCACACCAGAAGAAGGCAUUGGAUCCCAUUACAGAUGGUUGUGUGCCACUCUGUGUUUGCUGGGAAUUGAACUCAGGACCUUUGGAAGAGCAGUCAGUGCUUUUAACCGUUGAGUCAUCUCUCCAGCCUGGACCCUCUUUUUUUUUUUUCCCCUAAUUGAAAAUACUUCUUUUUAUACAAUAUAUUCUGAUCAUGUUUUCCCUUCUCCAACUCCUCUCAGAUCCUCCCUACCUCCCCACCCACCCAAAUCCACACCUUUUCUUUCUCCCUCCCAUUAGAAAACAGUUAACAACACACACACACACAUGAAUAGGACAAAACAGACCUUUUUAUUAUUUUAAACAGAGAAUCUCAGUGCUCACUCGUGUCAUCUUUUCCUUUCUUAGAGUAGAUUUUGAUAAAAAGAUAGUCAUACAAGCACAGGCAGCUUUUAUAUGCCCAAACCUAUCGUGUCCAUUUGGAAUUUUAAUACUUGGAUUUCUGACUGGCAGCAUUUAGGGUUCCCUUGCUUUUAAUCUAGUGGCAAGUUGUUUCAUAACAGUACAGCAUACUGUUAAUUCCUGAGUGUGUAUACGUUUCUUUGGCUCAUUGGGUCCUUGUUAUAUUUAAUGUUGUAGACAGCAUUACUGAACUGUUUUGAUGGUGUACUAUUUUUAACCAUUUAGUGAAAUAGGCUUACUAUUAAACAUUAAUUUAUAAGGACAUUACAAUUCAGACAAGGAAUUAUAAUUCCUAAGUAUGUGAAUUUGUAAUAAGAUCUCUUUAGAUCAGCGAAGCCCCUGUUUAUCUGAGAGGCGCCGCCUGCCAUGAGUACCAUGGACAGUGAUUUUACUGAGUCUAAUGUUUAGGCCUUCCAGUGUUUAAAACUGUUUUAUUGCAAGUUUGGCAGAGAUGACCUCGGUGAGUUCAUGGUGCAGUUAACGUGAUUUUUAUGCCAUAUUUGCUGAUUUUUACAGAUUAAAUUUAAAAAAUUACAUUUACAAAAUUGUUGUUUUGAGGAAUAUUGUUGUUGAUUUUGUUUGUUUUGUUUUGAGUGACUGUUAGUAUUCUUGAAUACUGUUAGACCUGACAGGAUUAGCUGUAGUAAAUUAUCAGUUUUAAAGGUGAGUGUUGUUUUAUUGUAAAAUGCAUGUUUUAGAUAUUUGGAAAAUACUAAUAAAAGCAAAGGUAACAAAG
rnacentral:lncRNA from 1 species